rnacentral:misc_RNA from 1 species
GGGAGAUCGGAAACUCAUUGCAACCCGGUGAUGUUAUAGAGGUUUCAGCCAGUGUGGGACUAGCUAAAACGCGUUUCAGUAUCAAGGAGGUUGGGAUGAGAAUUAUAUUCCUGGAAGAACAACAAGAAUCAGCUAAGUUUGACAUCGAAGAAUUUCCGAGUCCACGUCAUCAGAAUUUGCUCUUUGUUAGAGUCUUCCCAAGAUGAUGUCAAAGGUAACUAAAUGACCAGUAAGAUGUUUGUCUGAU